rnacentral:lncRNA from 1 species
CCAAAUCGACACUAAACAAGAAGGAAAUAAAAGUCACUAAUGGUCAUUGGCCUUAUUACAUUUGAUAAAAAGAAGAAAACUCCUAUCUAUUUGGUUCUAUAAGGACCUUCCCCAGGUUGAAUGCUCUCGUUGAUUAAAUCCUCCAAUUUGCGUAGGUUCACCAGUAAAAAUGCUUUUUCCGGGUGCUCUCCUUCAUUUCUCUCAACGUUCUGGCUAUCGGUGGCUCUCUUCCUCACUUUUCCUUCCAAUUCUAGCAAACUGUAUUCCAGAUAUUCCAGCUUUUCGCUGGCUUUGGCGGACCUCUAUUUUCAUUCAUUGAUUUGGCCAUUUGAUUGAAGACUCCUCCAUUAAUCUAGCAAGAGUGGGGGCGUGCUAAUCAUAUCGAAACUGGGGACACAUGCCUCAUUUUCUGCAAAACAAAAAGGUUAGACCCUACCCCCACUAGACUCGACUAUUUAAAUAUCAAUAAUUGGCAUAAAAGCAUUUAGUUCUCCAGUAAACGCACAGAACACGACAAUGUCCGUUUGGGUUUUAGGGAAACCUAGUGGACUUUGGAUAAGGCUAUCUUAAACUGUCAUUAUGCAGACAACAUAACUGACUCGGCUAGGUUUGACCAUGAUGCAUGCACCAUUUAACAGAAUAAG